rnacentral:rRNA from 1 species
GACGAACGCUGGCGGCGUGCUUAACACAUGCAAGUCGAACGAAAAGAGGGAAAGAGCUUGCUCUUUCCGGAAUUGAGUGGCAAACGGGUGAGUAACACGUAAACAACCUGCCUUCAGGAUGGGGACAACAGACGGAAACGACUGCUAAUACCGAAUAAGUUCCAAGGGCCGCAUGGCCCAUGGAAGAAAAGGUGGCCUCUACCUGUAAGCUAUCGCCUGAAGAGGGGUUUGCGUCUGAUUAGCUGGUUGGAGGGGUAACGGACCACCAAGGCGACGAUCAGUAGCCGGUCUGAGAGGAUGAACGGCCACACUGGAACUGAGACACGGUCCAGACUCCUACGGGAGGCAGCAGUGGGGAAUCUUCCGCAAUGGGCGAAAGCCUGACGGAGCAACGCCGCGUGAGUGAUGACGGCCUUCGGGUUGUAAAACUCUGUGAUCCGGGACGAAAAGGCAGAGUGCGAAGAACAAACUGCAUUGACGGUACCGGAAAAGCAAGCCACGGCUAACUACGUG